AAAACAGAAGAUUAACUUUAUUGGAAUUGGCUUUAUUGGUGUUUUUUAUGCAGUUCACCUCCAAUAAUAUCACUUGUCAAUCAAACACUGGGCGGUGCUUUCUAGUGAUUAAUAAUUUGUUCUCUGACUAUUAAUGUCACGAAUCCCCGGCCGGGAUGACUGUUUGUUUGUCUAUGGUUGUUGUCUGGUGUUGUGUGCCACUCUCCUGGCAGUGCUUGAGGGGGCGUGCCUGUACCUGACUAUUCACACACCUGGCUGAGGUCUUCACCACACCUGCUCCUCAUCACUGUCUGCAGUAUUUAAGGAGCAGCCACACACCCAGUCUCUGCCGGAUCGUUGUGAAGUAUAGUGAAUCAGUCCAGUCCACUCAGCCUACACCUUGUGUAGCCGGCGUGUGGUUCACCACCCUCCAAGCCUGCCAGCCGACCACUCUCUGGAUCACUCUUUGUCAAAUAAACUGUUAACACUCAAA